CGAUAUUAUUACCGUUCAAGCCGUUAGCAAGCUAUACGAUGGAUUCAGGUAAGUCA
rnacentral:rRNA from 4 species